rnacentral:lncRNA from 1 species
GCGCCUCCACAGGUACAGGCAAAUGCCUAUCAAGAAUGGAAAUCAAUCUUUGCCAACACUGAAAAGGCCUUAGACCCGUCAGAACUUAGGAGCUUUUCGUAUGUCAGAGAAAUUACAGAAGACGGCGAAAUCAUUAAAAGACCAUACCUACUGUCACCUCCUCCCCCUCAUCUUGCUCCUCCUCAUGUUCAAAUGAAAAUUUGUGAAGACGACGAAAUCAUUAAAAGACCAUACCUACAUUCACCUCCUCCCCCUCAUCUUGCUCCUCCUCAUGUUCAAAUGGAAAUUUGGGCAACCGAAUAGUUGCCUCUGUCAGAUCUAAAUAUGUGCAACCAAGGAUCAUCUUAUGCGAUAUUAUCAACUAAAUAUUAUGGAUCUCCAUC